UGAGGAAUAUUGGUCAAUGGACGAGAGUCUGAACCAGCCAAGUAGCGUGAAGGAUGACUGCCCUAUGGGUUGUAAACUUCUUUUAUACGGGAAUAAAGUGAGGCACGUGUGCCUUUUUGUAUGUACCGUAUGAAUAAGGAUCGGCUAACUCCGUGCCAGCAGCCGCGGUAAUACGGAGGAUCCGAGCGUUAUCCGGAUUUAUUGGGUUUAAAGGGAGCGUAGGCGGACGCUUAAGUCAGUUGUGAAAGUUUGCGGCUCAACCGUAAAAUUGCAGUUGAUACUGGGUGUCUUGAGUACAGUAGAGGCAGGCGGAAUUCGUGGUGUAGCGGUGAAAUGCUUAGAUAUCACGAAGAACUCCGAUUGCGAAGGCAGCUUGCUGGACUGUAACUGACGCUGAUGCUCGAAAGUGUGGGUAUCAAACAGGAUUAGAUACCCUGGUAGUCCACACAGUAAACGAUGAAUACUCGCUGUUUGCGAUAUACAGUAAGCGGCCAAGCGAAAGCGUUAAGUAUUCCACCUGGGGAGUACGCCGGCAACGGUGAAACUCAAAGGAAUUGACGGGGGCCCGCACAAGCGGAGGAACAUGUGGUUUAAUUCGAUGAUACGCGAGGAACCUUACCCGGGCUUGAAUUGCAACUGAAUGAUGUGGAGACAUGUCAGCCGCAAGGCAGUUGUGAAGGUGCUGCAUGGUUGUCGUCAGCUCGUGCCGUGAGGUGUCGGCUUAAGUGCCAUAACGAGCGCAACCCUUAUCGAUAGUUACCAUCAGGUUAUGCUGGGGACUCUGUCGAGACUGCCGUCGUAAGAUGUGAGGAAGGUGGGGAUGACGUCAAAUCAGCACGGCCCUUACGUCCGGGGCUACACACGUGUUACAAUGGGGGGUACAGAAGGCAGCUACACGGCGACGUGAUGCUAAUCCCGAAAGCCUCUCUCAGUUCGGAUUGGAGUCUGCAACCCGACUCCAUGAAGCUGGAUUCGCUAGUAAUCGCGCAUCAGCCACGGCACGGUGAAUACGUUCCC
rnacentral:rRNA from 2 species